GCAGUCCACUCCUACGGGAGGCAGCAGUGGGGAAUAUUGCACAAUGGGCGCAAGCCUGAUGCAGCCAUGCCGCGUGUAUGAAGAAGGCCUUCGGGUUGUAAAGUACUUUCAGCAGUGAGGAAGGUGGGUAUGUUAAUAGCAUAUUCAUUUGACGUUAGCUGCAGAAGAAGCACCGGCUAACUCCGUGCCAGCAGCCGCGGUAAUACGGAGGGUGCGAGCGUUAAUCGGAAUUACUGGGCGUAAAGCGCAUGCAGGUGGUUUGUUAAGUCAGAUGUGAAAGCCCGGGGCUCAACCUCGGAAUUGCAUUUGAAACUGGCAAACUAGAGUACUGUAGAGGGGGUAGAAUUUCAGGUGUAGCGGUGAAAUGCGUAGAGAUCUGAAGGAAUACCGGUGGCGAAGGCGGCCCCCUGGACAGAUACUGACACUCAGAUGCGAAAGCGUGGGGAGCAAACAGGAUUAGAUACCCUGGUAG
rnacentral:rRNA from 1 species